GGCGGGGGGAACAUGUCCCCCCCAAUAUUGAAGCCAGGUGGAUAUGUCCCCCCCAAAAAACUGUACCGCAAAAUAUUGGAUUUUGAAAUUUUUUUAACUAGCGUGCUUUUAUUUUGAAGGCGCAGCAUCACGUUACGUCACUGUACUUCCCCUCCCCUCUCUGAACUGCUGAGUGAGCACUCAGAAGGGAGGGAAACAGCGACACAGAAGUCAGAAACUUGUGAAUGAGUACAAUGCCACCACCAACUAAAAGGCUGAAACAGCAGCAGGACUUACUCAGCUUUUU